rnacentral:rRNA from 1 species
AUUGAACGCCGGCGGCAGGCCUAACACAUGCAAGUCGAACGAGUGGCGGACGGGUGAGUAAUGUCUGGGAAACCGCGUGAUGGAGGGGGAUAGCUACUGGACGCGGUUGCUAAUACCGCAUACCAUCAGAUGUGCCCAGAGGGGAUUAGCUUUUUGGUGGGGUAACGGCUCCCCAAGGCGACGAUCCCUAGCUGGUCUGAGAGGAUGACCGGCCAAACUGGAACUGAGACACGGUCCAGACUCCUACGGGAGGCAGCAGUGGGGGAUAUUGCACAAUGGGCGCAAGCCAGAUGCAGCCAUGCCGCGUGUAUGAAGAAGGCCUUCGGGUUGUAGAGUACUUUCAGUGGGGAGGCGUUACCCGCAGAAGAAGCACCGGCUAACUCCGUGCCAGCAGCCGCGGUAAUUC